GACCUUCUGUGACCAUCUCUGACAGCUGCUUCAAGCCCUCCCUCGGCUCCCUGUGCUGUCCCAAGAAGGUCCUCCUGGUCUGACCCUGGAUACCUCGGUCCUGAUUGCUUUUCCUUGUUUUGCACCCUGGAUUUCAGACAUUCCGAACAUUAAAAGUUUUCAAAAGGCCGGUAUCCUUCCCCCACGUCCCUUCCUUUGGAACACGUGUGCAAUAGUUUGCGUUCUGAUCUCCACCUUUCUUCACUACUCUGAGAACAAGCCUCCUUAACCCCUCAAUGGAUUGGUGUGCCCUGCUGUGUCAUCAUUUACUUCCCUUAUAACAGCACUCCUCUCUCUGUGUUGUACUCACCUGCUCUUGUUUUUCCCUCCCUCUGCUGGCAUGUAAGUUCCAUGAGAGCGGAAGUCAGCCUCACGCCAUCACACCCAUAGGGUGGGGCUUUGUGCCUGAUACUGAGUGCAGUCUCAAUGAAUGGAUGGAUGGACUUAAAACAAGACACAAGAAGCUUGAGGUACACAUUAAGAGCUGGGGAACCAUGUGAAGAGAGAAGGUGCAUAGCCUCACUGCUACUCACACCCCACUGCAAGGACAAGCAGGAUGGGAUACGGCCAUUUCAACUUCACUAUUUCUCUGCUGACCAUCUGCCAAAGGAGCCAUCGAUGCCUGGAUCUGAGAAGCUCACAUAUUAUCCAAACACCUUACAUGUGUCCCAGCCUAGAUCGAUGCUAAGAGUGUCGUCCUAGAAUCUGCACCCACAUGUUCCAGCUGCAGGUGGCCCCUGCAUCAGACUUGGAAAAACCACACUGCCACGGGCCAGAGGCGGUGCUGCCUGAAUGAGCUGAUCCCCAUCUGAGAACAAGGUUCUGGGGAAGAGAAAACUAGAAGGGGAUCCGGGGGCGCCAAGUGAAAAGGGAUACGGGAAAAGCAAACGGACAUGAAAUGAUACCAGAACAGGAGGAUGAAACUGGCAAAAGACAAAGUCUCCAUCUUCACAGAGGUCUGGUCCUGUCAGUGCUGUCCUCGUACCUUACAGUGACAGAAUUUUAGCACCAAAUUGUCUGUUUAGCUUAACGACUGCAUACUUAUUAUAAUAGGUUGUUAAACCAAUAAAACUCAAGAGGCAUAAGCAA